rnacentral:rRNA from 1 species
UACGUAGGGUCCGAGCGUUGUCCGGAAUUAUUGGGCGUAAAGGGCUCGUAGGCGGUUUGUCGCGUCGGGAGUGAAAACACGGGGCUUAACCCCGUGCCUGCUUCCGAUACGGGCAGACUAGGGGUAUGCAGGGGAGAACGGAAUUCCUGGUGUAGCGGUGAAAUGCGCAGAUAUCAGGAGGAACACCGGUGGCGAAGGCGGUUCUCUGGGCAUUACCUGACGCUGAGGAGCGAAAGUGUGGGGAGCGAACAGG